UGUAAACUUGUACUCUAAUUGAUGUCGUCCUUAAGUGUUUAUUAUUAAUUUACUUUUAGUUUUUGGGUAAAAUUAGAGAUUUUGUUAAUUGUUAUUUGAGGACAAAAAAUUUAGUGAGCAAGCCAGAUUAGUACCUGGUUAGAUAAAAGUUAAAAGAGCAGGAGUAAGGUUAUAUUUAAACUGUAAGAAUAUUGGCAGGUUUUUAAAUUAUCUUUGGAGGUUGAAUAGUAAUUGAGAGCCCUCAUUAUCUACUUUUAUUUUAGGCGCAUGUAUGAUCGUUUAUUUUAUUCUUGAGGAUUGUAAUUUUAGUUUAUAACUGUAAAAAUAGAUAUAUACUUGGUCUAUAUUAAAGUUUAUUUUGACCUACAAUAUUAUAUUUUUUGGAUAAUAUUC
rnacentral:rRNA from 1 species